rnacentral:rRNA from 1 species
UGGGGAAUAUUGGACAAUGGGCGCAAGCCUGAUCCAGCCAUGCCGCGUGAGUGAUGAAGGCCCUAGGGUUGUAAAGCUCUUUCACCGGUGAAGAUAAUGACGGUAACCGGAGAAGAAGCCCCGGCUAACUUCGUGCCAGCAGCCGCGGUAAUACGAAGGGGGCUAGCGUUGUUCGGAUUUACUGGGCGUAAAGCGCACGUAGGCGGACUUUUAAGUCAGGGGUGAAAUCCCGGGGCUCAACCCCGGAACUGCCUUUGAUACUGGAAGUCUUGAGUAUGGUAGAGGUGAGUGGAAUUCCGAGUGUAGAGGUGAAAUUCGUAGAUAUUCGGAGGAACACCAGUGGCGAAGGCGGCUCACUGGACCAUUACUGACGCUGAGGUGCGAAAGCGUGGGGAGCAAGCAGGAUUAGAUACCCUGGUAGUCCACGCCGUAAACGAUGAAUGUUAGCCGUUGGGGAGUUUACUCUUCGGUGGCGCAGCUAACGCAUUAAACAUUCCGCCUGGGGAGUACGGUCGCAAGAUUAAAACUUAAUGAAUUGACGGGGAUCAUAGCUGUUUCCU